rnacentral:rRNA from 1 species
GUGCCAGCCGCCGCGGUAAUACCGGCAGCCCGAGUGAUGGCCGAUCUUAUUGGGCCUAAAGCGUCCGUAGCUGGCUGCGCAAGUCCGUCGGGAAAUCCACUCGCCCAACUGAUGGGCGUCCGGCGGAAACUGCACGGCUUGGGACCGGAAGGCUCGAGAGGUACGUCCGGGGUAGGAGUGAAAUCCCGUAAUCCCGAACGGACCACCGAUGGCGAAAGCACUUCGAGAAAACGGAUCCGACAGUGAGGGACGAAAGCCAGGGUCUCCAACCGGAUUAGAAACCCUGGUAGUCC